CAGUCGCCGCGGUAAUACGAAGGGGGCUAGCGUUGUUCGGAAUUACUGGGCGUAAAGGGCGCGUAGGCGGCCAUUCAAGUUAGAUGUGAAAGCCCUGGGCUCAACCUAGGAAUUGCAUUUGAUACUGUUUGGCUUGAGUUCGGGAGAGGUGAGUGGAAUUCCCAGUGUAGAGGUGAAAUUCGUAGAUAUUGGGGAGAACACCAGUGGCGAAGGCGGCUCACUGGACCGACACUGACGCUGAGGCGCGAAAGCGUGGGGAGCAAACAGGAUUAGAUACCCCCGUAGUCCCUGUCUCUUAUAC
rnacentral:rRNA from 1 species